AACGAACGCUGGCGGCAUGCCUAACACAUGCAAGUCGAACGAGACCUUCGGGUCUAGUGGCGCACGGGUGCGUAACGCGUGGGAACCUGCCCUUAGGUUCGGAAUAACUCCCCGAAAGGGGUGCUAAUACCGGAUAAUGUCUUCGGACCAAAGAUUUAUCGCCUUUGGAUGGGCCCGCGUUGGAUUAGCUAGUUGGUAGGGUAAAAGCCUACCAAGGCGACGAUCCAUAGCUGGUCUGAGAGAAUGAUCAGCCACACUGGGACUGAGACACGGCCCAGACUCCUACGGGAAGCAGCAGUGGGGAAUAUUGGACAAUGGGCGAAAGCCUGAUCCAGCAAUGCCGCGUGAGUGAUGAAGGCCUUAGGGUUGUAAAGCUCUUUUACCCGGGAUGAUAAUGACAGUACCGGGAGAAUAAGCUCCGGCUAACUCCGUG
rnacentral:rRNA from 1 species